rnacentral:sRNA from 1 species
GUCACCAUCUGUACCAAGAUGGGUAUCUCUAACCAUGAGGAAUACUCACUGGUCCGCGAGAUGAUGGACGACGAGAAAGAGAAGACGCUGACUCUCCGCCGAGACAAGUCCAUCGCCAAGGACCAGAAGAAACUCGACGAGAUGAAAAAGAAACUCCACACGGACGAUGAACUGGAGUGGUUGGACCAUUCACGGACCCUGAGGGAACAGGGGGUGUUGGACGUGGACACACUACUGCUGAGGAGGAAGUUCUUUUUCUCCGACCGAAACGGUAAAUCUAACCUAAUCACGGCAGGUAAGACGAUCGGCGAGGCGUCACAGGAAGUGAUGACAGGCAUUGGAGAGACGGCUGAUGACAUGGACAGGAUGUACCAGGAGACGUUGCUAGCUCUUGCUAAGGCAGUGGCCAAUGCGACGGCCCAGCUCGUCCUGAAGGCCAAGAGUGUGGCCAGCACCACCGAGGACCAGGGGCUUCAGAACAAGGUCAUCAGCUCGGCGACCAGCUGUGCCCUCACGACAGCUCGUGGCCUGUACCAAGGGAGAAGAUUGGAGACCUUUGAUUUUUCUGAGUCUUAA